CAGCAACACGAUAACACUGCAACGCAUUUCAGCAAUUGUCUGGGCUCUCCUCUCCGUUUCGCUGCAAAAACAAAGUCCGAGAAGAGAAGACUCAAACAGCCGGCCGCUCUUUUCUUUUUUAUUUUCCGCUUGUCUUCUGUGUUUCCACCCUUCUCUCUCGUUGACCGACACUCUCGUUUCUUUUCCCCGCUUCAACACAUACAUUGAAAAAAAAAAAGGAAACCACACACACAGAAAAAGAGGGAAGGAAAGAGACAAGCAGACCUGCCGGCAUAAGCACAACGCGCGCGCCCAUUGCACGCUGGUCUGCUGCUGUACAUACCCUCCCCCACUUGCCUACUGCUGCAGACUGUCGUUUCUACUGCUACGUAUUGACUGCGUACCUCGGUACCCCGUGACAAGCUUCUCUUCUCCGUCUCCUUCUUUCGGACGAGCUCCUAUUUUCCGCGUCUCGGGCUGAACGCAUCUGACCCUCGUUUCCUUGUCGAACAGCGAGUCGCACUCACUCGCGCGGACAGGCACUAGAACGACGUGGAAGUGAGGCACACGCGUACUGUUCGUUCCCCCCUCCCUUUCGUUUCAGCGGCGGCCUCCUUUCUCUUCGUCUCCGCGUAGCUGCAGCAAUUACUCUCACUCCUUCUGUUGUCUUUACGUCUCCUUUUCUUUCGUUUUACUUCUGUUUUCUCCUCCGCGUGUGAUUGCCAG
rnacentral:misc_RNA from 1 species